AGCGAACGCUGGCGGCAGGCUUAACACAUGCAAGUCGAGCGGGCAUCCUUGUGGUGUCAGCGGCAGACGGGUGAGUAACGCGUGGGAACGUGCCCUUCGGUUCGGAAUAACUUAGGGAAACUUGAGCUAAUACCGGAUACGUGCGAGAGCAGAAAGGUUUAUCUGCCGAAGGAUCGGCCCGCGUCUGAUUAGCUAGUUGGUGAGGUUAUGGCUCACCAAGGCGACGAUCAGUAGCUGGUCUGAGAGGAUGAUCAGCCACACUGGGACUGAGACACGGCCCAGACUCCUACGGGAGGCAGCAGUGGGGAAUAUUGGACAAUGGGGGCAACCCUGAUCCAGCCAUGCCGCGUGAGUGAUGACGGCCUUAGGGUUGUAAAGCUCUUUUCUCCGGGACGAUAAUGACGGUACCGGAGGAAUAAGCCCCGGCUAACUUCGUG
rnacentral:rRNA from 1 species